CGCACAUUGCGCCCCUCGGUAUUCCGGGGGGCAUACCUGUCCGAGCGUCAUUAACACUCUCAAGCCGAGCUUGGUAUUGGGCGUCGCUCUCUUAACAAAGGGCGUGCCUGAAAAGUAGUGGCGGUCCGAUGUGACUUGAGGCGUAGUAAAUCUCUCCCCGUCUUGCAAGUUUCACAUCGCGUCCAGCCAGAAAUGGGAGUCGCUCCGGCGGUCCCCUCCAACGAUUGACCUCGGAUCAGGUAGGGAUACCCGCUGAACUUAA
rnacentral:misc_RNA from 1 species